UACAGAGGUCUCAAGCGUUGUUCGGAUUCAUUGGGCGUAAAGGGUGCGUAGGUGGUGUCGUAAGUCGGGUGUGAAAUCUCGGAGCUUAACUCCGAAACUGCAUUCGAUACUGCGGUGCUUGAGGACUGGAGAGGAGACUGGAAUUCAUGGUGUAGCAGUGAAAUGCGUAGAGAUCAUGAGGAAGACCAGUGGCGAAGGCGGGUCUCUGGACAGUUCCUGACACUGAGACACGAAGGCCAGGGGAGCAAACGGG
rnacentral:rRNA from 1 species